rnacentral:rRNA from 1 species
CAGUCGCCGCGGUAAUACGAAGGGGGCUAGCGUUGUUCGGAAUCACUGGGCGUAAAGCGCACGUAGGCGGAUACUUAAGUCAGGGGUGAAAUCCCGGGGCUCAACCUCGGAACUGCCUUUGAUACUAGGUAUCUUGAGUCCGGGAGAGGUUGGUGGAACUCCGAGUGUAGAGGCGAAAUUCGUAGAUAUUCGGAAGAACACCAGUGGCGAAGGCGGCCAACUGGCCCGGUACUGACGCUGAGGUGCGAAAGCGUGGGGGGCAAACAGGAUUAGAUACCCCGGUAGUCCCUGUCUCUUAUAC